ACACCGGCAGCUCUAGUGGUAGCAACUUUUAUUGGGCCUAAAGCGUCCGUAGCCGGUUUAAUAAGUCUCUGGUGAAAUCCUGUAGCUUAACUGUGGGAUUUGCUGGAGAUACUAUUAGACUUGAGACCGGGAGAGGUUGGAGGUACUCCCAGGGUAGAGGUGAAAUUCUGUAAUCCUGGGAGGACCGCCUGUUGCGAAGGCGACGCACUGGAACGGUUCAGACGGUGAGGGAAGAAAGGUAGGGGCGCGUACCAGAUUGGAUACCCGGGAAUUGCUAACGGGAAACGAGGCGAACAUGACGUUGGGGAGGCUUUGAACUGUCUCAGUGCCGAAGAGAAGGUGUUAAGUCCGCCGCCUGGGGAGUACGGUCGCAAGGCUGAAACUUAAAUGAAUUGGCGGGG
rnacentral:rRNA from 1 species